GACCGCGUAGCUCAGUUGGAAGAGCAUUGGGCAAGUAUUCCAAAGGUCGUAGGUUCGAAUCCCACCGUGGCA
rnacentral:tRNA from 1 species